rnacentral:rRNA from 1 species
CGUUUGCGGCGGGCCUAACACAUGCAAGUCGAACGCACUAGCAAUAGUGAGUGGCGCACGGGUGCGUAACACGUGGGUAAUCAACCCUUCAGCCUGGGAUAACGACUCGAAAGGGUCGCUAAUACCGGAUACGGCGCGAGAGGCUUCGGCUUCUCACGAGAAAGCCACGCAAGGGGCACUGAAGGACGAGCCUGCGGCCCAUCAGCUAGUUGGUGAGGUAAGAGCUCACCAAGGCUAAGACGGGUAGCUGGUCUGAGAGGAUGAUCAGCCACACUGGAACUGAGACACGGUCCAGACUCCUACGGGAGGCAGCAGUGGGGAAUAUUGCGCAAUGGGCGAAAGCCUGACGCAGCCACGCCGCGUGAGCGAUGAAGGCCUUCGGGUCGUAAAGCUCUGUGGGGAGAGACGAAGAAAGCCUGUGAAGAGCAGGCCUUGACGGUAUCUCCUUAGCAAGCACCGGCUAACUCCGUG